rnacentral:lncRNA from 1 species
CAAUUGUGGGUCCACCCAAGCUGUCCUGGAUGCUCCAGGGUCACAACCUUAGCAUAAGCCUCAUUAUGCCACUCACUCCAUACCGAAAUGAAAAUGGCUCUUACAAGCCAGUCAACGAAGUGCUGUGGACACUGCAGUACCAGCUGAACCUUUAUGAAGAGGACGUGCUUGUCCAGCAAGUGCACUGUGAACAGAGAAGCAAGGAAGCUCCUUGCAUGUUUAGGUACUUGAAACCAAGUACCCAGUACUGUGUCCGGACUGUGAUGGUGAGGAUGCCCAGGGAACGGAGCAGGGAGGCUGCACAGUGCAUUACAACACCAGCCACCCCUGGAGACUUUCCAUGGGUCCUCCUCGUCGUACUGAGCGCUGUCUUGCUGGUGCUGUGUGUGGCCGGGCUCUGCUUCCUCAGACUAUUUGUGUUCUUGAGACCCUCGGAGACACGCAUCCCAAACUCGCUUGCUAUUUUGAAUGAGGAGCUGACUGUGAACAUCAGGGUGCCCACUCUUGAACUUGAGGGGGACUCACUCACUCUACUCUCGCUGGCUGUGCUUCCCUCCCCUGGACCCUCUGCAGCUGAACAGAAAAAGCCCCAAGUCCAGCAGCUUCUUGGAGAAAGCUUUCCACAGGAGAUGGGUGGCUACUGUGCCAAUGGAUUUAGGCCAAACUGCCCCGAAAGCAAGGUCCUGUCCUUUGCCCCCAGCCAGCUGGGGCAUGUCUUGGACUCUGGGGCCUCCUCACCCCUGGAGGGGCUGGGAGAGGACAGGGAAGCGUGUAAUAGGGAUGAUGUGUUGGCUUUGCCAGUCCAACUGCCCCAUGGUUCAUGGGCGUGUUUGGAGCAGCCAAUGCUGGUGGAACUGAAUGGCAACAGUUACAGGGAUGACGAAGACUGCCAGACAUCUGAGAUGUGGCUUUCUUUGCACCUCCAGCUUUAUUCUAAAUGCCAAUGCCCACUCUUGGGAGUGGGCAGCAGCCUCUCUCUGACUCCACAGGACACAAGUUUCAGCCAGGAGGACCUAAAGGAAAGCGUUGGCACAGCAGAGCCCUGCUGCCAGCCCGGCGUACCGCUCAGCUCUGUGAAGCUGCCAGGCAGUGAGGAAGACAGAGGACACCUUUUCCCUGCUCUCUGUCACCUGCAUGGCCAUGGGGCUGAGUCAGAGUUGGGUGACAGCAACACACAGCAGAGUGACUUGGAUCAGGCAACAUUGGGCUGGCAAAGCAUCCCUCUCCCCAGUUCCUGCGAAGUGCCCUAUUCACCCCUCAACAGCCUGAGGGCAGCCACAUCCUCUGGCUAUGAGAUGCAUCCCCUGGUCACUGAUGAGCCCUAGUGUAAAGAAGUGUAACAGGAGAGCAGGGCUCUCCCAGAUGCACGACUGCCCUUGAGAGCCAGAUUGCAGCCUUAAUGAGUAACUCCAAUGGAGCAAGGAACAUUACCCAAAGCUGACCCAACUGUGAUGGACUGCCUGCUCAGACAUGUGUGUGCCUCUUUGGGGAUGGGACUAGGCCAAGCUUCCUGGGCAGACAGGCUCCAGCGUGCUCUGGGACUGACUGCCAUAGAAAGACAGUGAGGUCAGCAUCUUUUGAGUUUCCCUGUCAGUUUUUGGUCCUUCAUAUAUAUAUGUAUGUAUAUGUAUAUAUAUGUGUGUAUAUGUGUGUGUGUACAUAUAUAUACUUAUAUAAAUAUAUAUUUUUAUAUAUAAACUUCUUCCAUUAUGUUAAAUAGUUUUUUUUUUUUUUUUUGCUUGGCUGCUGUGG